AUUGAACGCUGGCGGCAGGCUUAACACAUGCAAGUCGAGCGGUAACACUUCGGGUGACGAGCGGCGGACGGGUGAGUAAUACAUAGGAAUCUGCCUAGUAGUGGGGGAUAACGUAGGGAAACUUACGCUAAUACCGCAUACAUCCUACGGGGGAAAGCAGGGGAUCUUCGGACCUUGCGCUAUUAGAUGAGCCUAUGUCGGAUUAGCUAGUUGGUGAGGUAAAGGCUCACCAAGGCGACGAUCCGUAGCUGGUCUGAGAGGAUGACCCGCCACACUGGAACUGAGACACGGUCCAGACUCCUACGGGAGGCAGCAGUGGGGAAUUUUGGACAAUGGGGGCAACCCUGAUCCAGCCAUUCCGCGUGAGUGAAGAAGGCCUUGGUUGU
rnacentral:rRNA from 1 species